UGGGGAAUUUUGGACAAUGGGCGAAAGCCUGAUCCAGCAAUGCCGCGUGUGUGAAGAAGGCCUUCGGGUUGUAAAGCACUUUUGUCCGGAAAGAAAUCCUUGGCUCUAAUACAGUCGGGGGAUGACGGUACCGGAAGAAUAAGCACCGGCUAACUACGUGCCAGCAGCCGCGGUAAUACGUAGGGUGCAAGCGUUAAUCGGAAUUACUGGGCGUAAAGCGUGCGCAGGCGGUUUGCUAAGACCGAUGUGAAAUCCCCGGGCUCAACCUGGGAACUGCAUUGGUGACUGGCAGGCUAGAGUAUGGCAGAGGGGGGUAGAAUUCCACGUGUAGCAGUGAAAUGCGUAGAGAUGUGGAGGAAUACCGAUGGCGAGGCGAGCCCUGGGCAAUACUGACGCUCAUGCACGAAAGCGUGGGGGAGCAAAACAGGAUUAGAUACCCCUGGUAGUCCACGCCCUAAAACGAUGUCAACUAGUUGUUGGGGGAUUCAUUUCCUUAGUAACGUAGCUAACGCGUGAAGUUGACCGCCUGGGGAGUACGGUCGCAAGAUUAAAACUCAAAUGAAUUGACGGGGUCAUAGCUGUUUCCU
rnacentral:rRNA from 1 species